rnacentral:rRNA from 1 species
CAGAAUGCUGCGGUGAAUGCGUUCCCGGGUCUUGUACACACCGCCCGUCACACCACGGGAGUUGGAGACGCCCGAAGCCGAUUAUCUAACCUUUUGGAAGAAGUCGUCGAAGGUGGAAUCAAUAACUGGGGUGAAGUCGUAACAAGGUAGCCGUAUCGGAAGGUGCGGCUGGAUCACCUCCUUUCUAAGGAGA